rnacentral:rRNA from 1 species
CAAUAGCGUAUAUUAAAGUUGUUGCAGUUAAAAAGCUCGUAGUUGGAUUUCUGUGAGAGUGCCGGUGUCGGCUGAUGCUUGUACGCAGGCGCUCUUACAUCCUUCUGUUAACUGUUCUUGGCAUUUUAUUGCUGGUUCAGGGCUCAGAUAUUUUACCUUGAGAAAAUUAGAGUGUUUCAGGCAGGCUUAUGCCGGAAUACAUUAGCAUGGAAUAAUGGAACAGGACCUGUGCGUCUCUCGGGGCGCCGGUCUCCGUUGUUGGUUUCGGGGACUAAUGUAAUGAUUAAUAGGGAUAGUUGGGGGCAUUAGUAUUUAAUAGUCAGAGGUGAAAUUCUCGGAUUUGUUAAAGACUAACUUAUGCGAAANCANNNGCGAAGGAUGUUUUCAUNAA